UUAUAAAUUGAUGUUAAGAACAAUGGAUGUUUUCCAGCUCUGUUUAAACUUUUCGUUAUGCCAAUAGAUUUAGCCAUAAAGCAAUUGCAGAUACUGAGAAUAGCGGACAGGACCGAAGAUGUUUUAUUCGACUAAAUAUUUUAAAAAACAUAAUGUAUAUAUGUAUAUACGUUUCCUACAGCCAACAAAAGUUAUGAAAAACAGAAAAAAUCCAAAUUGCUUUUGACAUUUUUUUUAAGUAACGAGGUAUAAUUCCGCAGUGUCAAAACAAAAAAUUUAAACAAAGGGUUCCCUAAAAAUUACUGAGCAUGCGCGAAUCAAAGAGAGGAUAACACAACAAGGGAACCCUUUCCCGCGGUGAAAUAUGUUGUACCAGAUCAUAUUAUUGUAUUAUAAAAUAAAUAUUUAAAAAUA